AUUUUUCAUUCUAUAAAACAUUAAUAAUAUAUAAAAAUUUUCACUUUUUACUAAUGCUUUUAUAUUAAUUUUUUUUCCUACAGCAAAAUCAAAAUUAUAUUUGUUUUCUUUUUUUUUCAUCCUUAUCAAUCAAAUUUUCAAAAAAAUUAAUAAAAGUAGUUUUAUUAUUACUGUGUAAAAAUUUACUUCUGUUUGUUUUUUUUCCAGUGUCAUUGUGUAAAGAAUUGAUUUUAUUGUCAUUAUGUUUUAAAGUAAUGGCAUUAUUACUAUUAAAGUUUUCAAUGUCUUUUUUUUUUUUUUUUUUUUUUAUUAUAAUGUGCAGUAUGUGUAGUAUUUGCAGUAUGUGUAGUAUUUGCGGUAUGUGCAGUAUUUGCGGUAUGUGCAGUAUGUGAUAUAUUUUUUUCUUUUUUAUAAUUAGUUAUGUAUGUAGUUUUACUUUUAUUUGGUUUUAUGUAUUCUUUUUUGUUCAUUAUGGAUGAGGUGUUUUCUGAUACCUCUGUUAUAAUGCCAUUUGUUAUGUAUGUAUGUUCAUCUGACUUGUUUGAAAUGUAUUGUGCGUUUUGUUUCGAUUGGUCCGUUUUGCGUAAUGGUUGGUCCGUGUUGCGUAAUGGUUGGUCCGUGUUGCUUAGUGACUGGUCCGUAUUGCUUAGUGACUGGUCCGUAUUGCUUAGUGACUGGUCCGUAUUGCUUGACGAUUGGUCUACAUCAUAUGAUGAAUAGUCCGUAUCAUUUGGCGAGUAGUUUGUAUCAUCAGGGGAGUAAUUAGAGUUACCUGAUAUUUGAUAUGUAUCAACUGAACACGCAAUUUGCAUUUUUUUCUGUUUUACCAAACUGUUAUAAGAAUUUGUAGAAGUUUCACUUGCCUGAUCCGUGACGUUAUUAUAAUAUUGUUUAUUUUUUAAAUUAUGAUUAAAAUUUGUACUAGUAUUAUAGUCUUGAUCCAUUUUUUUCAAACAAUAAGUGAUAUUAUUAUACAGAUAUGCAUACAAAUCAAUAGAAUAUACAUAUAACUGAAUAAGCCAAGUGAAUAUAGCAAUACGUAAAACAUUAUUAUAACAAUGUAUGUUACUAUAUAAAUAUUUAGCUAAUAAAAAAUACUGUUUUUUAUGUAAAAAUGAAAUU
rnacentral:lncRNA from 1 species